rnacentral:tRNA from 2 species
GGCAAGGUGGCCGAGCGGUCCAAGGCGCCAGGUUCAGGUCCUGGUCUCCGAAAGGGGGCGUGAGUUCGAAUCUCACCCUUGUCA